ensembl:lncRNA
GAAGCAUCAGUGAAAGAAAAAUGCUGUAUUUGGAGAUUGCGUUGCUUAUUUCUUAGUGCAUCUGAAUAGGCCAAGUGAAGUCUUCAGGGUCAUCGUUUCUAAAAUCACAAAACUCAUUAUAUGAGCAGUAUCACCUGGUAGAGAAAACGUUGAGGAGAGAUGCUUAGCAUGGGUUUGUGCACCAUUUGACUGCAGAUCAAAGCAGUCUGCUGAGGCAAUAUACAUACAGGUAUAUUCAGGGUAAUCUACUUCUCUUGUGAUGAUGAAUGUGUAGAUAUCAAAAAAUGCACAGCACAGAUCUGACAAAAUACUGCCCUCCAACUCCCUGACUCUGCAAACAAUUAAACUGGUGCUCAACUUCACCAAUAUGAAUAGUCUUCCUGACAUCAAGGAGACUGCUUAUUUUCAGAAACUUAACUGUUAAGAAACUUAGCAUAGAUGUUGGUGGGAUGGAGGCCAGAGCCCUUCAGCCAGUGCUUGUUCUCGAGCUGCCUGUCGCUUCUCUUCCAGUGAGAGAACGGAUGAGAAUCGUGCCCAAGGAGGAGCAGGGGGAUGCUUUAGGCCUUUGUGGGCUAAAUCUGCUGUCCUCUGAAAUCUGCAGACAGAAUGCCAUUAGUAGAGGGGGCCUUACAUAAGGUGCUUCACGGACACAUAAAAUACUUGCAAGCUGGAUGUGAGAGCAGAGUAUGAGCUAGCAGAGAACUAAGGUCUUCAUAACACUGGGAAUGCUCUGCAGUUAGAAACCUGUGUGUUGAUAGAUAUCGCAAUGAUCUCAGACAGACAGAGGUCCAGAGAAGCAAAGUAACUGAUGCUGAUUGUAGAUGGCUUUGCAGCUUUGUGUACUUCAAGUCUCUGUCAGUGUAUUUGAAGCGUAUUUGUUUUAAGGUACGACAGCUUACAGAGAGAUCACCAAACGGUACACAGCAUGGAACUUAAACUAUUUCGGUAUCAGGCACUAAUCCCUCUUUUGAUUUGCACAUUAAUUUCCUAUGUACGUGACUAAAAAUACUGUAUUGUUAUAAAUGAGAGGAAAAAACCACAGUGGUGUUUGUAAGUAUGUUCUGUUUGUAGACUUAAGGCUGUAUUAUGUUGGAAUUUUACAAGCCAAGUUUAAACUGUAAUAUAGAAAUUAUUUUUAUAUUAUUUUCAAAAUAUGCUACAGAGCAAUAUUUUGCGCCUUUAUUAUAAACAGGGUCAUCAUUUUAGUAGGUUACCUUCCAAAGUGCUGGUAGAAAUUAACCACGAAAAGAAAGCUUUGUAAAAAUGUGUGUGUUGUUUCUAACUGCUGUCUGUUGUGCACAUCUAUGUCUAAUGAGAGUUGAAUAUACAGUUUUUUUUUCU